ACUAACACGGCUGCUACUCUGAAACCUAUGGAUACUGUGUAGCUUAUUAAGAUCUCCCCCUCCCAUCGAAAGGUAUGUUUGCAUUAAUAUAUGGCUAACCAUGCAUGGCAGAGCUUUCCCAGUCUCCUAGAGGUAUUGAGUUUGAAAUUUCUCAGUUUAAACCACAAUCCAGGUAUCUCCAGGCUCAAACAUCUAUUGGCACAGAAGCUGAAAAGAUUAAAAUUGAACAGUUUGGUAAUAACCUGCUUCACAGAUUACAUUUUUGUUUAGUCCUGUGGUUAUUUAGAGACUCCUGGAGAGAUCCCACCCAGCAGAAAAAUGUGACUUUAAGAAGAAUUGACACUGCUGUGCAGGACUGGGGAAAAAGAUAUGGACCCAGGCACAGUCCUGUGAUGUGAGGAACUGACAUGAAGUUAGGCAGUCUUGGGGUUUGUAAACUUCGUUCAACGUGUUCAAAACUCUGAGGUGUACUCCACUCUCAAAGGUUUUAUAGAUAUUCAUUCUGUUUCUGCAUUUAGUCAAGUCAAUAAGCACAGCACUGAGGCUGAAAAAAUUCACCUGAAACAGCAUAUCACUUGCCAUAUGAUAGCAGGCCAUAAUAAUAAUAAUAAUAAUUAAUAAUAUGACCAACCUCAUAUAUAGUUUACAUUUUCAUCUGUAGAUCUCAAAGCACUUUACAAAGGAAGUCAGUGUCUCAUUUUACGGAUACAGACACAGGAAUUUAAGUAUUUUGACAUACAUAUUCCACAUGAGAUUUCUCAGUUGCACAACUCACUUUAUAUUUUGGUGUAGUUAGCCUGACAGCAAUAUAUAAUGCAAAGGGCUAAAUACUGCCCUGAUUUGCAUCCCAUGGGUAAGACACGACAGAAUUAAUACUUGAUUCCCUCCAUUAGAGUACAGUAGUGUGUGUGUGUGUAUGUAUAUAUAUAUAUAUAUAUAUAUAUAUAUAUAUAUAUAUAUAUACACACUUGAGGUAUAAUUGAAAAGAAAGUUACAUUAUCAUUUACUUAUCCUGGUGUAAUCAGAACAAUUAUAAUGAAUAAAUUAUAUAAAGGAAAUGUCUCAUAAGCAUCCCUGCAAGGGACUGACAAAAACUGGCUGCUUACCAAAGGUGGUCUAAUAAACUUGCACUCAGUAGCGAUGUGGAUACUUUGGCCAUGUCAUGUAAAACAAGAAAGGGUUGAAUACAGAUUUUGCUGUUUCUUAAUUAUAUAUCCAAUUAAACUUAAUUUUUCCAAAUGGAACAGGGAUGUAGAACUAAGUUAGAUGACAGGAAGUGCAGGGCACUGGACUGAGACUCAGGAGACCUGGGUUCUGUGCUUGGUUUUGACACUGGCCUGCUGUGUGUGACCUUGGGAAAGUGUUUGUCCCUCUGUUUCCCAUCCCAGUCUGUGCCUUGGGCCGGAGACCAUCUCUCAUUAAGCACCUAGCACAGAGGGGCCCCAAUCUUCGCUGGGCCAUACAAAUAAUAACAUGAUAACAAUGAAUGACAGUUUGGAUAAGCAGGGGACUUUUCAAUGUAUACAGGCCAGACUUUACAUUUGGGUGCCUAAAGUUAUUGCGAUAAAGGGGAGGGGAUAUUGAUUGGGUUUUGAUUGAAUCAUUGCUAAUUAUUUUCUGGUUUUGGGGUGUAUUUUUAAUUUGUGGACAGCCACUCAGAGCCUGAGACAGGUAUCUUUUAUAUAUUAUACACCUAAAUAACUAAGAGGCCAGAUUUUCAGUGGUGCUGCGUACUGAAGUUAAUGAGAGUUAAAAUCAGGCCGCUCAGUUAUGGUAGAUGCCUACCUAUGGACUUAGAUGCUUAAAUUUAGUCAUCCAAGUUUGGCAAUAUUGGCCUUAAUGCACACUAAGAGGACAUGAUCUCAUUUUAGAUACACAGGGUUUUAGAGAACCAGUAUUCAGAUAAAUGAGUUUCCACUACAGUAAACUAACUACAUGUUAGAGAUCUAGUAAAAAAUAUCCUGCUUCCCCUUAUUUCCCAAUCCUUCUAACUUCACUUCUUUUUUAUUUGAUAAAGUCUUCUGCUUCCUUCUUCCACAGGGCUGUUUGUCCAUCAAGGGCCUUAUCCUUCGUCCCUUGAAGUCAAUGAAAAUGUUGCCAUUAAUUUCCAGGGGAGAAGGACGGGCUCCUAGAUAAGCUCUUCUGAAGUUAAGUGACAAAGUGGAAAAAAUACCUAAAUCCUGUUUACAAUACAGUGCAACUUCCAAUGUUGCUACCACUGGUGGAGCUGUGCUGGUGUAGGAUGAGGGGUCCAAAAUUUCCCAUUGCAGACACACUCCAACUAUUAGUACUGAAAUAAUGAUUCAGCAUGUGGAAAGAUCAGCUUGGGCCGCAAAUUGCUUAGCAGGCAGCUUGGCAACAAUAAUGAGAAGACUAUCAGAAUAAGUGAUCUUUUACAAGGAGAAGGGAUAGCAAUAGAAGUAGACACGUAUCUUAGCUUACCCUCUUGGGAUCUAGGAAUUGGGCGGGCAGAAGCCUGCCCACUGCUAAGGAACUCCCCCCCCCCUCCCCCCACUCAGCGUAAGGGGAGGAUCCACAGGACCUGGAAGCCAAGUGAUUCCGGGGGACAACUAAUGAAAUAACAGGGACAGGAGAGUGAUCCUACUGGGAUCCAGGAAGUGGGCUGGGUAGUUCUCCUUUCACUAGCCAGCUCUCCCUCUCAUAAGCACUGUUGUGCUUGUCUGUGAGUGUUUUCCCUUCUGUCUUGGUGUGAAAAAAAGAAAUCUAAACGAGGCUCUUCCCUUGCCCUUAAAAAUGUAGGUGAAUUGACAGAAGGCCCGGUUGAGUGAUCAGAUAGUAUUCCUCUUUGUGCUGUGCCUGGAGGAAAAGAAAUCCUUAAUGGACUGCUAUUAAAAUGGUACAUCCCCUAUCCCUCCAGGACCUAGUUGUUCUCACAAACCCAACGGGGUGGGGGGCAAGAGGCCAAUCAGAAAGUUGAAUUUUGCAUGUCCUGCACAUAGUGCUACUGCUUGUGUACAUGGCUAGGUGGUGUGUGUGUCAUGACAUAAGGUAGGAAAUGCACUCAUUCAGGACUGUGUUUUCUUUCAUGAAAGUCUAUCAGCUGUGUUGUUUCUUUGCGUGGUUUCAGUUCAGAUUAGCCCCCUCAAAACUUGGAUCCUUAUCCAAAACAUACUCUUUCCCUAUCUUUUGCCUCCCUUCUUCUCUCUCUCUCCCACCAAGCUAGAUACCUCACCCUUUCCUUCACUGCACCUUCCCCUCACCCUCCAUGCCCUCCCUGUCUCAUUAUCCCUGGUGUUACCCUUUUGUGACCUCCAACAGAUCUCACAUAUGAGGACAUCCCCAGUAAGAGAUAUCUCAGAAGGCAUUGUGUACCUCUGACCAGGGGAGCCCUAGAGAGCCCUAGGACUCAAUGCAGCAGCAGCUCAAGGCCUAGCAGACAUACUAUCAGACUUUCCAUAUCUUGCAGAAUGCCUUUUAGAAGUUGCAGGAAGGGAGGGAGCUGGGGUCUAUUGGAGUUUAUAGGGAGAAAAGUGGACAGUUAAGAGCUGGAAUAAGGAUUUGAAGGAUAGGGAUUGACAUGGGAAUAUCCAUAAAGGAUUCCAUUUAGUUUCCAUUCAGGAACAGCUGGUGUUCAUCUUUGGUCCGUGUUUCUCUGAGCUAGGUUGCUCAAUGCUUACUCUCUUGAUUUUGAAAUCAUAACAUUAGUGGGCCUGUGCCAAAUUUGGCAUUAAAUUAAAUCAGCAGGAACCCAGCAUAACUCCACUGAAGUUAGUGCAGUGAUUCCAGAUUUUAUGCUGUAUAAUUGACUUCAGAAUCUGCCCCAGUAUUUACAGUUAGAUCUUCCUUCAGGAAUAGGAAGGAAUCAGGCUUCUACGUUUCCAAGGUGCAGUCCAGCAUUUUCCACUGUGAUGCUGCUGUAUGUGUGGAGGUUAUUGAACUCUGUAAUCCCAGCCCUUGCUUCUGAAUUAUUCUGAGACCAUUUAUAAUUGCCUUUGUACCUUUGUAAAAAAAAAGUAAGGCAUGCUGGCAGCCCUCAGCAUUCAGAUCAAAUACCACUACAUGAUGCACUGCCUGGGGUACAAAGGGAAACAGAAGAUGGCAAUCAGUGACAGCUAAAGCCCAGUAGACACCAGUUAAAUGUAGUGUAAAUCUGACAGGUGGAGGAACCACCUCUAAGCAAGUUUGUCUGUCUUAAAUUAAAAGAAUAAUUUCAAAAUUGUAGGUCCCAUGUCCACGCUAAUUCAAAGCAUUAAACACAGCUAUACAGCAGGAUUUGUAUCAUCAUGAUGCUAUUUUGAAACUGUGAUUUAAGCCGGUACUAGAACGACAGCUAAUAUUGUUUUCACUACUUGUCUUGACAAAUAUUCACAAUUUCAUUGCAGGCCAUUUCAGGCCCUGAAUUCACGGUGUGGUGGUUUUUCCAUUAAAGUAUGUGAAAUGAUCAAAACUUUCAGGGUAAAAAUGGUUGUCAAAACAAAAGAUCAAGUUUCAAAUUUCAGAACAUUGAGAUUUUUUGCUCAGAAAUUAGUCUGUUUUGAAAUUUCAGAUUUUUUUUUCCUGUGUGAAAUUAGACCAAAUAAUAACAAAAGUGGAAACCUCAAUUUUCAAGGUCUAUGUCAUUUCACUGUGAUUAUUUCACCCAGCCCUGUCCAGUCUAUGUUUGGGUCUUGCUGGGGGAUAGACUGAACCAUGGCUCAGCUUCUGACGAACACAGUAAACUAUGUUUUAAUGGAAACGAAUCAUGUCAAAUCUAUUUGUUCCCUCCCUGUGCCCAGAAGGACUGACAAGUUCUCCCACAAUUCAUUGGGAAAGAAUCAUAGAGUGGGUUGACUUACUGCAGCACAAAGAACCACGGAUACGUUCCCAAGAGGCCCAGCAACGCACAUGGGGGAGCCAGCACAGGAGCACCAAUGAGGACACCGUAACUCAGAUAUGGCUCUGUGGUAUGGCUGCUCAUGUCUGGACUAGGCUAACUGCAGUGGAGACAUAUCGUAAGGGUGAGCUUGUUGACAAAGACAUGUUAACAAAAUAGGAAGUAAUGAAAUAAAACAACUAGCAAACAAGAAACUUCUCUAUAAAAAUCAUGGAAUGAGCAGGAAGUACUAACUUCACCGCUCAGUCACUUUCAUCCUAUCCUUCACCCUUCAUCUACAACUACAUGUUAUCUGUUUAGAUUGUAAGCUCUUCAGAACAGGGACCUUAUCUGCAUCUUUGUAAAGUUCCUAGUCCAUGUUGGGGGGGCUGAAGUAAUAUAAAAUAUAUAAUUAAUAAAUCAUAAUUCACGCUCCAUUUCCAGUCUAUUCCUGUGAUUUAGCUACAUUCUUGGGUUUAUUAAUAUACACAGACAAGGACAGUAAGACAAAGAAAAAUUUCCAAAUUACUCAUCCCAGGAACAUAAUCUAUAAAUAGUUUUGAGCAUCUGACUGAGGACCCAAUACAACCUUGACAUUCUACGGUAAGGUAAUGCUGCUGUGGUUAUUUGACAAAUGGACCUGGAUCAUGUUUCAAUUGUUUUAAGCUCAAAUGUAUCAGUCUCAGUUUAGUCUGAUGGUGCUUAGUUCAAAGAUGCAGAGUACAUAGCAAGCAAGACUGUUUAACUUGUAGUGAUCCUCCAGGCUUCUGUUCUUUUUUUCAGUAAAGAAGUCUUUGCCCCCUCGAUGAGGGCAGAAAAAACAGAAUCUCCAUGCAGCAGCUGAUAAAGGGAAUGCUUGCUUCUUACUCUUAAUUUAAUUUUCAUAUAGUGGUGAGUUGCAAAAAUGUCCCUGGCACAACUCCAGGAAUCUAAUGUAGAAAAAAAUGUUUUCAAUUGCAUUGCAAUGUAAUACAUAAAUGCAAAAGGAAAUUAGUGAA